GAAAAACAGGAUAGGAGGAGUGGAGAGUUGCAUAUGAUGUGGGGUAGAACUCAAUUUAGGCAAGCCAGUCAUGAUGGAUACCAAAGUAGUGGCGAAUCAAGUAGUAAUAGUUGGAAAAAGAAGGGAAAUGGUAGACCUAGGUCAAAGUCUAGAACUAAGGCUAGAAAAUGCUAUGGCUGUGGAGGCACAGGGCAUUUUAUAAAAGACUGUCAUAAAGAAAAGGGAAAACAAAAGGUUAAGGAAAGAGAUGAGGUAAAUGUGUUAUCCUCUACCUCCGAUACCGAAAACGGUGAAGUCUAUGUGAUUACUAGUCCAAUCGCAUACAUUACUGAAUUAAAUCUAACUACUAAUUCUCACAUGCAUGAAUGGAUAUUAGAUUCUGG
rnacentral:lncRNA from 1 species